AUCAAUGUGAUUGGCAGGAGGAAAAUAUGGCUGUAAGCGGGAAGAAGAACGGGGAAUUUAUCACAGGCAGUGAUGUUUCUGAAAUGAAAUACACAAACAAGGUGGUGGAAGAAACUUUGAGACUCACAAACAUUUCACCCUUCCUUUUUCGCUCAGGUGACGGAAGAAGUUGAAUUUCAAGGUUUCAUAAUCCCAAAAGGCUGGAAAUUGUUAUUGUGGUUUCGAUACAAUCACAGUAAUUCAGAAUACUUCAUGGAUCCAUUGUGCUUCAAUCCAGAUAGAUGGAAUGUAAGCUCGCAAUAAGGCAUUGCUUUUGUUUUUGUCUAUCAUCUCAGAAGUUUUACGU